UGCAGGGUACUCGAGUGGCGAACGGGUGAGUAACACGUGGGUGAUCUGCCCUGCACUUCGGGAUAAGCCUGGGAAACUGGGUCUAAUACCGGAUAGGAGCCAUUUUUAGUGUGAUGGUUGGAAAGUUUUUUCGGUGUAGGAUGAGCUCGCGGCCUAUCAGCCUGUUGGUGGGGUAAUGGCCUACCAAGGCGGCGACGGGUAGCCGGCCUGAGAGGGUGGACGGCCACAUUGGGACUGAGAUACGGCCCAGACUCCUACGGGAGGCAGCAGUGGGGAAUAUUGCACAAUGGGCGCAAGCCUGAUGCAGCGACGCCGCGUGGGGGAUGACGGCCUUCGGGUUGUAAACUCCUUUCGCUAGGGACGAAGCUUUUUGUGACGGUACCUAGAUAAGAAGCACCGGCUAACUACGUGCCAGCAGCCGCGGUAAUACGUAGGGUGCGAGCGUUGUCCGGAAUUACUGGGCGUAAAGGGCUCGUAGGUGGUUUGUCGCGUCGUCUGUGAAAUUCCGGGGCUUAACUCCGGGCGUGCAGGCGAUACGGGCAUAACUUGAGUACUGUAGGGGUAACUGGAAUUCCUGGUGUAGCGGCGAAAUGCGCAGAUAUCAGGAGGAACACCGAUGGCGAAGGCAGGUUACUGGGCAGUUACUGACGCUGAGGAGCGAAAGCAUGGGUAGCGAACAGGAUUAGAUACCCUGGUAGUCCAUGCCGUAAACGGUGGGCGCUAGGUGUGAGGGUCUUUUCACGACU
rnacentral:rRNA from 1 species